rnacentral:lncRNA from 1 species
UUUCUGAAAAUUUAAUAAAGGAAAAAAGAACUCCGAGAAGAGUUCUGAACUGGUCCUCUUGAGCUCUAGUAAUCCUCAACAUAUAAGAAAUGUAAGAAAUAAUUUGUCUGAACUAUAUGACUGUUGUUAUUGGUGUAUGUAGUUGGAACCACCUUGAAGAAUAAUACUUUUAGUAUAAAUUUAUGUUUGUAAAGCCAAUAAAUUAAAAAUUUAUGCUUCUCACCUCAAUCCUUCUUCAUCAGUUUCUAACCGGAGCUUAAAGUCCCACAAGCGAAAGGACAGGUGGAAAAAGGUAAUUUUGCCCACCAUUUUUUUUUAAAUUGAAUUCAAUUGAACAUAUGUACAGUUGAUUUGAUUAUUUGUUGUCCAUAAUGUUUAUAUUCUAGAUUUUUCAAUACGACGUUUUUCUUUAAUUAUUUGUGCAAUUGGCUGCUUAAAAAAAAGAGGUACAUGGCCAUGAAAUCAGAUGCUAUAAAUGAAAUAUAAAUACUUUUUUUUUAAUGCAGCGGAUUACAGCCUUUGCGAAAAAAAAUGUUUUAACAUCAACGUUAACUAUUCGGGCACCAUCACCACAUAUAUUACGGUAAUUACAGAAGCUUUUGGUGAAUUCAGAUGAUAAUUCACAAAAAACUUUGUGAAACUUGAAUCGAACUAUUUGUUAAUUGUUAGUUUCUUCGCUGCUGAUGGAACGACAAUAUAAUAAUCAUAAUCAACAUUUGUCUCAGAUUUGGUUCGUGGUGUUCAUAAUAUCUUUGGCCUAGAUCAGACCCGUGUUGUUCAUAAUUUCUUUGGCCAGUGUGCUUUGGAGACACUUGUAUGCAUGUUUGCACUGAGGAAAUAGACUAG